rnacentral:rRNA from 1 species
GACGGAGGAUGCAAGCGUUAUCCGGAAUGAUUGGGCGUAAAGCGUCCGCAGGUGGCAGUUCAAGUCUGCUGUCAAAGACCGGGGCUUAACUUCGGAAAGGCUGUGGAAACUGAACAGCUAGAGUAUGGUAGGGGCAGAGGGAAUUCCUGGUGUAGCGGUGAAAUGCGUAGAGAUCAGGAAGAACAUCGGUGGCGAAGGCGCUCUGCUGGACCAUAACUGACACUCAGGGACGAAAGCUAGGGGAGCGAACAGG